rnacentral:rRNA from 1 species
AUACGGAGGGGGCAAGCGUUGUUCGGAUUUACUGGGCGUAAAGAGCAUGUAGGCGGUUAGAUUAGUCAGUUGUGAAAUCCUAUGGCUUAACCAUAGAAUUGCAUCUGAUACUGUCUAGCUAGAGUGCAGAAGAGGAGAGUGGAAUUUCCAGUGUAGCGGUGAAAUGCGUAGAUAUUGGAAGGAACACCGGUGGCGAAGGCGGCUCUCUGGUCUGUAACUGACGCUGAGAUGCGAAAGCGUGGGUAGCAAACAGCAUUAGAAACCCUAGUAGUCC